rnacentral:rRNA from 1 species
CAGUCGAGCGCGUGAACUAACUGAAUCCUUCGGGAGGAAGUUAGUGGAACGAGCGGCGGACGGGUGAGUAACACGUGGGCAACCUGCCUGUGAGACUGGGAUAACCCCGGGAAACCGGGGCUAAUACCGGAUAAUACUUUUCUUUGCAUGAAGAGGAGUUGAAAGGCGGCUUUUAGCUGCCGCUUGCAGAUGGGCCCGCGGCGCAUUAGCUAGUUGGUAAGGUAAGAGCUUACCAAGGCGACGAUGCGUAGCCGACCUGAGAGGGUGAUCGGCCACACUGGGACUGAGACACGGCCCAGACUCCUACGGGAGGCAGCAGUAGGGAAUCUUCCGCAAUGGACGAAAGUCUGACGGAGCAACGCCGCGUGAGUGAUGAAGGUUUUCGGAUCGUAAAGCUCUGUUGUGAGGGAAGAACAAGUACCGUUUGAAAAAGGCGGUACCUUGACGGUACCUCACCAGAAAGCCCCGGCUAACUACGUGCCAGCAGCCGCGGUAAUACGUAGGGGGCAAGCGUUGUCCGGAAUUAUUGGGCGUAAAGCGCGCGCAGGCGGUCUUUUAAGUCUGAUGUGAAAGCCCACGGCUUAACCGUGGAGGGUCAUUGGAAACUGGAGGACUUGAGUGCA